rnacentral:rRNA from 1 species
CGGACGGGUGAGUAACGCGUGGAUAACUUGCCUCACACUGGGGGAUAACAGUUAGAAAUGGCUGCUAAUACCGCAUAAGCGCACAGUACCGCAUGGUACGGUGUGAAAAACCCAGGUGGUGUGAGAUGGAUCCGCGUCUGAUUAGCCAGUUGGCGGGGUAACGGCCCACCAAAGCGACGAUCAGUAGCCGACCUGAGAGGGUGACCGGCCACAUUGGGACUGAGACACGGCCCAA